AAUUGUUCACAAUGGGCGCAAGCCUGAUGACGCAACGCCGCGUGGGGGAUGAAGGCCUUCGGGUCGUAAACCCCUGUCGAAUGGGACGAAUAACCCGCGAUUUAACAAAACGCGGGAAUGACGGUACCGUUAAAGGAAGCCACGGCUAACUCCGUGCCCGCAGCCGCGGUGACACGUAGGCACCAAGCGUUGUCCGGAUUUAUUGGGCGUAAAGAGCUCGUAGGCGGUUCAGUAAGUCGGGUGUGAAAACUCUGGGCUCAACCCAGAGACGCCACCCGAUACUGCUGUGACUUGAGUACGGUAGGGGAGUGGGGAAUUCCUGGUGUAGCGGUGAAAUGCGCAGAUAUCAGGAGGAACACCAGUGGCGAAGGCGCCACUCUGGGCCGUAACUGACGCUGAGGAGCGAAAGCGUGGGUAGCAAAC
rnacentral:rRNA from 1 species